rnacentral:lncRNA from 1 species
GUUGCUCUCCACUUCUGGCAAGCGCUUUCAACUUUUUCUAAGGGAUUUUCUUGCGGUUCCUCUCUUAUUGGUCUUUGGGAAGGAACAAUCCCUUCCAUGCCGUUGUCUUCUUCCACCUACGGCAGGAAGAGGUGUAUUCCUGCUUAUGUAAACGAGAGCUUUCUAGAAGAGAUAAUGGUUAUGAACACUGGCCCUUAACCAAGAAACAGAAGUUGAAUGAACUGCGGGAAGAUAAACUUCACUUUGCUGUGAUUUCAGAACUGAUAUCAGCAGGCAGUUGUCUAAAAACUAUAUUUGUUUUCCUAAUCUGCUACUUUUCACGACAAUUAUAUUUG